CGCACAUUGCGCCCCUUGGUAUUCCGAUGGGCAUGUCUGUUUGAGCGUCAUUACACAACUUCGGCUGCGGAUUUGUUCUGCUCCGGUGCUGAGCACGGCUGCCCUUGAAAUGGCUGCCGGCUUUAAAGUGUACGCUCUGCGGGCCACUUACCUGAACGAACAUAGUAGAAUCCAUUCAACCUGUUCAAUCGGAAGGUAGGCUCAGCCUGAACAAAAAACCUCUCUCUAGGUUUGACCUCAGAUCAGACAAGGAUACCCGCUGAACUUAA
rnacentral:misc_RNA from 1 species